GCGAAGAACCUUACCUAGGCUUGACAUGUAUUGCUAAGCACGUGAAAGCGUGUGACUCUUCGGAGACCUUACACAGGUGCUGCAUGGCCGUCGUCAGCUCGUGUCGUGAGAUGUUUGGUUAAGUCCAGCAACGAGCGCAACCCCUGUGGAUAGUUGCCAGCACGUAAUGGUGGGGACUCUAUCCAGACUGCCCAGGUCAACUGGGAGGAAGGUGGGGAUGACGUCAGGUCAGUAUGGCCCUUACGCCUAGGGCUGCACACGUACUACAAUGCCCAGUACAAUGAGAACCGAUACCGUGAGGUGGAGGAAAUCUACAAAACUGGGCCCAGUUCGGAUUGGAGGCUGCAACUCGCCUCCAUGAAGUUGGAAUCGCUAGUAAUGGCACAUCAGCUACGGUGCCGUGAUACGUUCCCGGGUCUUGUACACACCGCCCGUCACAUCAUGGAAGCCGGUCGCACCCGAAGUAUCUGCGCUAACUUUAUUGAAGCAAGGUCCUAAGGUGUAGCUGGUAACUGGGAUGAAGUCGUAACAAGGUAACC
rnacentral:rRNA from 1 species